rnacentral:rRNA from 1 species
AACGAACGCUGGCGGCAGGCCUAACACAUGCAAGUCGAGCGCGCCCUUCGGGGUGAGCGGCGGACGGGUGAGUAACGCGCGGGAACGUGCCCUUCUCUGCGGAAUAGCCUCGGGAAACUGAGAGUAAUACCGCAUACGCCCUUUGGGGGAAAGAUUUAUCGGAGAAGGAUCGGCCCGCGUUGGAUUAGGUAGUUGGUGGGGUAAUGGCCCACCAAGCCGGCGAUCCAUAGCUGGUUUGAGAGGAUGAUCAGCCACACUGGGACUGAGACACGGCCCAGACUCCUACGGGAGGCAGCAGUGGGGAAUCUUAGACAAUGGGGGCAACCCUGAUCUAGCCAUGCCGCGUGAGUGAUGAAGGCCUUAGGGUUGUAAAGCUCUUUCAGCUGGGAAGAUAAUGACGGUACCAGCAGAAGAAGCCCCGGCUAACUCCGUG